GAAAAAAUGUGAAAGGAUGUCUGACAAGCGAGGACACGAGUAGCUUUAGGGAGCCAAACGGAGAGAAAGCUUCAAGAAAAUGAACUGUCUCUGACAUAAUUUCUAUACUUUAAAUCUGAAAAAAGAUUACAGAGUGGAUGCUAUGGAGUUUUAAUGUGCCAAUACUCACAGAAACCAAAGCUUGUGGGAUACAUUGUCACUAGAUUAUAGCAUCUUGAAAGGGGUUAUCUGAUUGUUUGUUCUCUGUCUCUUUUUACAUAAUGUAAAAUUCUCUGGGGCUUUAAAAAGCGAGUGGGAAAUAUCUGAUAGAUUUUAGAAGUAAAUGUGUUAUUUUGCCUCAUUUACAAUCUCAGCUGUCUUGUAAAACACAGAGCUCCCUGGAAGGCACAGCGAUGGUGGACGAAACGAGGAUGCAGCGGGAGCACAGUCUGUAGAUCUUCCUGAUACCUGUGGGAGUUGCAUGCACAGCCAGAUGUAAUAGUCUCUGCAGGUGAAAAUUCUGAAAAUACAUGUCUGUGUAGAAGCAUGGCUUCAGGUCUCAGAAGAGCAUGUUUAUCCUCAGAAUUAGCACUCUAACAGUUUUGGAGGAACCACUGCAAAGGGAGCUGAAUUACUUGCCAAACCCUAACACUGCAAAUCAGUGACAAAGCCGAAAAUGGAGCCUGGGUGUCAGUGUUGUUUAAAUAUAUAUUACAUUUGGCACAUAGACUUCAACUAAAUUUUGUGUCUUUGAAGUAAAACUGAGUAUAAGGAAAUGGAUAGUUUAAUUUUACCUGGAAGACUUUGGGUGCACUGACAAGAGAUGCUAGAGCUGAUGACAGAGUAGCUGAAAAGAUGCCAGCUGUGAUGAGAGGACCAAAGCCAGACACCAUGCUCAUCACCUUUAUGAAGAAAAGAAGGUAAAAAGAAGAGUCAGUCAUCACCUUUAUGAAAAAAAAAAAGGUAA